CACGACAUUAACAUCUAUAGGGUUAAGUGAUCCUAAUUGUACUGGUGUUCAACAUGGUGAUACAUUUCUUAUUAAAGCACCAGUUUCAGCCUGUAAUAGCCAAGUUAAGUCGAAUGGUGUGAUAAAUACAUAUUCUAAUUAUGUUGUGGAUAAAGUUUUUGCAACGGACUCAAAUCUUAUUGUUCGUGGCAAUCGAUGGAGGAUGCCAAUAAUAUGCUCAGUUCCGUCGACUAAAUCUUUUGAAGUACAUUACAACCCAUCUUCUGACAUGCGUAGAAAGCGACGCGAACUCGAUUACACAAUUCACAAAAAUAAAUCGUUCCCAGUCACCAUAGAUAGUUAUACUGAUGAAACCAUGACAACAGUAACCAACCUCCUUGAUAAAUAUGCACUUGGUGAUGACAUGUAUCUUCGAGUUAAACUUCUAAGAGGAGAUGACGAUCUGAAUUUAGUUAUAAAAGAUUGUUAUACGAACCCUACACGAGAUAUUAACUAUAAACAGUAUUAUAUCAUCAAUAACAGUUGUGAAGUGGACAGUGAAACCCACAUUCUCCAAAGAACACAGCAAUUCACCGAUUUUAAGCUAAGUGUUUUCCAGUUUACUGGUGAACAGCCUUAUGUUUAUUUGUACUGUGUGGUGUAUGUGUGUACCAACACAGAUACGUCAGGACAAUGUAGCAACACGUGUACCAAAUCUAGCAACAAAAGAGAUAUAGAAGAGGAUUUUGCUAACAGCCACAUUGUUAAUUUUGGACCAAUUAACGUCAAACACUAAAUAUGAUUGUUUAGUUUCUGAUAUAGUUUUGUGUAGUUUAAUUGGGCGUAAUGGCCAAAGAUAUUAUGCAAUUAAAUCUGAUAAUUUUCAAAAGAACCCAUUUUCUUCCUAGCAAUCUACUAUAUCUCCAGAGUGU